rnacentral:rRNA from 1 species
GACGAACGCUGGCGGCGUGCUUAACACAUGCAAGUCGAACGGAAAGGCCCUGCUUUUGUGGGGUGCUCGAGUGGCGAACGGGUGAGUAACACGUGAGUAACCUGCCCUUGACUUUGGGAUAACUUCAGGAAACUGGGGCUAAUACCGGAUAGGAGCUCCUGCUGCAUGGUGGGGGUUGGAAAGUUUCGGCGGUUGGGGAUGGACUCGCGGCUUAUCAGCUUGUUGGUGGGGUAGUGGCUUACCAAGGCUUUGACGGGUAGCCGGCCUGAGAGGGUGACCGGCCACAUUGGGACUGAGAUACGGCCCAGACGCCUACGGGAGGCAGCAGUGGGGAAUAUUGCACAAUGGGCGGAAGCCUGAUGCAGAAACGCCGCGUGCGGGAUGACGGCCUUCGGGUUGUAAACCGAUUUCGCAUGUGACGAAGCGUGAGUGACGGUAAUGGGUAAAGAAGCACCGGCUAACUACGUG